UACGUAGGGUGCGAGCGUUGUCCGGAAUUAUUGGGCGUAAAGGGCUCGUAGGCGGUCUGUCACGUCGGGAGUGAAAACUCGGGGCUCAACCCCGAGCCUGCUUCCGAUACGGGCAGACUAGAGGUAUGCAGGGGAGAAUGGAAUUCCUGGUGUAGCGGUGAAAUGCGCAGAUAUCAGGAGGAACACCAGUGGCGAAGGCGGCUCUCUGGAACGGUACUGACGCUGAGACGCGAAAGCGUGGGGAGCGAACAGG
rnacentral:rRNA from 1 species